CCAAAUGAUGAGAGUAAUUUGCGAUUGAUCCCACUAGGUGGCUCCCUCGCCGGGGAUGCUAUAUCUAGUGGUUAAGUGAUAUUUCUUUCUUACAUAUUCUGAAC
rnacentral:snoRNA from 1 species